AAGGAUCAUUACAGAGUUCAUGCCCUCACGGGUAGAUCUCCCACCCUUGAAUAUUAUACCUUAGUUGCUUUGGCAGGCCGGGGCAACCCCCGGGGCUUCGGCCUUGGUGUGCCUGCCAGAGGAAACAAACUCUGUUUUUAGUGAUGUCUGAGUACUAUAUAAUAGUUAAAACUUUCAACAACGGAUCUCUUGGUUCUGGCAUCGAUGAAGAACGCAGCGAAAUGCGAUAAGUAAUGUGAAUUGCAGAAUUCAGUGAAUCAUCGAAUCUUUGAACGCACAUUGCGCCCCGUGGUAUUCCGCGGGGCAUGCCUGUUCGAGCGUCAUUUCAACCCAUCAAGCUUCGGCUUGGUCUUGGGGCCUGCGAUUCCGCAGCCUCUAAACCCAGUGGCGGUGCCUCCGAGUUCUGAGCGUAGUAAUUCUUCUCGCUAUAGGGUCUCGGUGGUGUCUUGCCAGUAACCCCCAAUUUUUUACAGGUUGACCUCGGAUCAGGUAGGGAUACCCGCUGAACUUAAGCAUAUCAAUAAGCGGAGGAAAAGAAACCAACAGGGAUUACCUCAGUAACGGCGAGUGAAGCGGUAACAGCUCAAAUUUGAAAUCUGCCGCAAGGCCGAGUUGUAAUUUGUAGAAGAUGCUUUGGGUAUGGCCCCGGUCUAAGUUCGUUGGAACACGACGUCAUAGAGGGUGAGAAUCCCGUAUGUGACUGGGUGCUUUUGCCUAUGUAAAGCUCUUUCGACGAGUCGAGUUGUUUGGGAAUGCAGCUCAAAAUGGGUGGUAUAUUUCAUCUAAAGCUAAAUAUUGGCCAGAGACCGAUAGCGCACAAGUAGAGUGAUCGAAAGAUGAAAAGCACUUUGGAAAGAGAGUUAAACAGUACGUGAAAUUGUUGAAAGGGAAGCGCUUGCAACCAGACUUGCACGCUGUUGAUCAUCCAGGCUUCUGUCUGGUGCACUCGGCAGCGUUCAGGCCAGCAUCGGUUCUGGUGGUGGGAUAAAGGCCUUGGGAAUGUAGCUUCUUUCGGGGAGUGUUAUAGCCCUCGGUGCAAUGCCGCCUAUCGGGACCGAGGACCGCGCUUCGGCUAGGAUGCUGGCGUAAUGGUUGUAAGCGACC
rnacentral:rRNA from 1 species